CAGGCUUCUGUGGGUGAAGUAAAAUCUCAUAGCCUGGGACGGAGCGAGGCACAGGAGUGUGCUCCUGCAGCCGGUCCUCUUCCAGGAAGGCACUCUCAGAUGCUUGUUUAUUGCAACUGCACCAUCAAAAAGUAAACUAAAAUUGCUAUGAAAAGAAGAAAAGCUUCAAAACUAGCAUGAAGAUUGUCAGUCCCUGAGAAUUACCCACAAAUAUGUUUUAUGUGACUGGGAAAAAUCUGUCGCCAUCAAUAUAGAGUACAUAGGUGUCAGUCGGGAUGCAUCAAUGCACUCUGUUUUGGC